rnacentral:rRNA from 1 species
CCUACGGGAGGCAGCAGUGGGGAAUAUUGCACAAUGGGCGAAAGCCUGAUGCAGCAACGCCGCGUGAAGGAAGACGGUUUUCGGAUUGUAAACUUCUAUCAAUAGGGAAGAAAGAAAUGACGGUACCUAAAUAAGAAGCCCCGGCUAACUACGUGCCAGCAGCCGCGGUAAUACGUAGGGGGCAAGCGUUAUCCGGAUUUAUUGGGUUUAAAGGGUGCGUAGGCGGAUUUUUAAGUCAGCGGUAAAAUGUCCGGGCUCAACCCGGGCCGGCCGUUGAAACUGGGGAUCUUGAGUGGGCGAGAAGUAUGCGGAAUGCGUGGUGUAGCGGUGAAAUGCAUAGAUAUCACGCAGAACUCCGAUUGCGAAGGCAGCAUACCGGCGCCCGACUGACGCUGAGGCACGAAAGCGUGGGGAUCGAACAGGAUUAGAUACCCGUGUAGUC